GCGCCUGUAGCUCAGCCCGGAUAGAGCGCUGGCUUUCUACCCCAGUUGUCGGCCGUUCGAAUCGGUCCAGGCGCGCCA
rnacentral:tRNA from 1 species